GCUCAGCAGCUUCCUCCUUAAUCUCUUGGAUCAGCUCUAGGGGAAGCCAGCUGCCAUGUUGUGGGGAUGCUCAAGGAGCCCUGAGGAGAGGCCCAUGUGAUGAGGAGCUGAGAGGACUUGGGCCAAAAGCCAGUGGAGAAUUGAGGUCUCCUGUCAGUAGCCAUAUAAGCAAGUAUUCUGGAAGCACAUCCUCCAUUCCCAGUCAAUAUCUUAACUUCAACCUCAUGAAAGACCUUGAGCCUAGCUCAGCCACUCCCAGACUCCUGACCCACAGAUACUGUGUGAGACACCUUGAAUCACAGAUAGUUGGAGAUGAAAAGGACCUUAGAAACCAUGAGAAACACCAUGGGCGAGGAGACUGGGGAGCUCUGGAGCCAUAAACCUGGCUUCAGGUCCCAGUUCUGCCACUCACCAACUGAGUGGCCAAGGACGGCAUUUUUCAGAGAACAGGAGGGAGCUGCUUCCUUAAGUAUCGCCUGGGAUCACAUUCAGACUGGAGAUGUUGCCAGAAGCAAAUCCACCUCGGUGGGGAUUCUGGUUGACCCAGGAGACCCUCUGCUCCUGAGGGAACUGCUGAGGGGCUUGGGCUAUGACUCCAGGACCAAGAGUUUUGGGAGAGACUUUCCUUCCCUGGACAAGGAAAAGGAAGUGGAGCUACCAGCUGCUGCUCUGGGAGGCUAGAGGCUCAUCUCUCUACCAUGCACCCUUUCCGAAGCUCUGUUCUCUGAGGGCUUCUGGAAAUACCCGCUUUAAUCAGAGUUAAGCCGGAUUUGAAGGUUGCGAUGAUUAGAUGUGUCAAAAAAAUUUUACAUCUAAUAACACCCAACGCUGUCAAGAAUGUGGA
rnacentral:lncRNA from 10 species